UUUUGUAAUUAACUCUCCUUAAAUUGCAGUUUGGCUUUAUAUAUAAAUGAUAACCAGUCUUGAUCUUUAUGCUUUGAGGUUCAGAUCUUAUCAACACUCUCAAAGAUGGCGGAGGGUACGAUAAUGGUGAUCAAAGUUGAUCUAAAGUGCUGCAAAUGCUACAAGAAAGUCAAGAAAAUACUCUGUAAAAUCCCCCGUGAGUCUCUUUCUCUGUGUGUAUGUUUAUAUUUGUGCAUGAACAUGCAAGCUAUUGGAUUUGAUUAAUUCUCUUGAACUUUGAUAUAUAGAAAAACAAGAUCCAGUUUAUAAUGAGAAGAAAAACACAGUUACAAUAAAAGUGGCGUGUUGCUGCUGCCCUCAGAAAAUGAUGCAAAAGAUCCGCUGCAAGGGCGGUAAGUCAAUCAUAAGUAUAGAAAUCAAACCGCCUGAGAAGAAAAA